AUAAAUACCUUAAUUUCCUUGAAAAUUAUUAAUAAUUAGUGGAAGUUACAAGCAAAACAGUAGUGACUUACCUACAACACGAUGAAAUCUUUUGCCCCAUUUAUUCUUGUUAUUGCUUUAACCCUAACAUCCAACGCACAAACACCGCCAGGUGUGACUUAUCGCUGUUUUGGUCAAACAUGCCCCCCUAACACCCUUAUGUGCCAGAGACUUCAAUACACUUUGUCCAACAGUACACAAUUGAGAACGGAAGUUGAAUGUCUUGGUACUAAUGCAACGACACUUAAUUCUUCUAUUACUUUGCAAUCCAAUCCUUUUGGUGCUUACUCUAGCUUCCAGUCUCUUACUAUGGCAAAUGUGUCGGUGGUUCAGAAUAAUAUGACUGUUGCUCCCAGGAGAAACUCUUGAACGACCACAUCUACAACUUCCUAAUUAUGGUGAAAUACAUAGUGUUUCCAUUAUAUUCAAUAAAAUGGUGAUUUGUUGGGGGUUUUA